UUCUAUUAGAAAUCAUUAAUAGUAAAAUCUGCUCCAUGUUUAAUAAAUAGCCGCAAUUUGUGCUAAGGUAGCAUAAUCAUUUGUCUUUUAAAUGAAGACUAGAACAAAAGAUUUAACAUUUUCAGUUCAUUUUCUUAACUUAAAUCAUUAAAUUUAUCCUAAAUGUAAAAAGACAUUUAUAUAAAAGAAAGACGAUAAGACCCUAUUGAACUUAACUGCAGUUAAACUGGGGCAGUAAAUUAAUUAUUAUUUUAAUAAAAUUUAUUUUACAAAUAUCUAAUAAAAUUAAAUAAUUCAGUUACCAUAGGGAUAACAGCGUAAUAAUCUUCUAAAGAUCUUAUUUAAAACAUAGAUUACGACCUCGAUGUUGAAUUAAUAACCUAAUUAAGGCAAAACUUAAAAAAGGAAGUCUGUUCGACUUUUAAAAAAUUACAUGAUUUGAGUUCAGACCGGUGUAAGCCAGGUCGGUUUCUAUCUUCUAAAAAAUUUUUUACAGUACGAAAGGACCUAAAAAUCUAAUA
rnacentral:rRNA from 1 species